CCUGGCUCAGGAUGAACGCUAGCGACAGGCUUAACACAUGCAAGUCGAGGGGUAACAUUGGAGCUUGCUUCAGAUGACGACCGGCGCACGGGUGCGUAACGCGUAUGCAACCUACCUAUUACAUGGGGAUAGCCCGAGGAAAUUCGGAUUAAUACCCCAUAAGAUGAUUGAUUGGCAUCAAUUAGUAGUUAAAACUCCGGUGGUAAAAGAUGGGCAUGCGUGACAUUAGGUAGUUGGUAAGGUAACGGCUUACCAAGCCAUCGAUGUCUAGGGGUCCUGAGAGGGUGAUCCCCCACACUGGUACUGAGACACGGACCAGACUCCUACGGGAGGCAGCAGUGAGGAAUAUUGGUCAAUGGACGCAAGUCUGAACCAGCCAUCCCGCGUGAAGGACGACGGCCUUAUGGGUUGUAAACUUCUUUUAUGUACCAAGAAAGAUAUCUACGUAUAGAUAUUUGACGGUAGUAUAUGAAUAAGCAUCGGCUAACUCCGUGCCAGCAGCCGCGGUAAUACGGAGGAUGCGAGCGUUAUCCGGAUUUAUUGGGUUUAAAGGGUGUGUAGGCGGAUUAGUAAGUCAGGGGUGAAAGUUUGCGGCUCAACCGUAAAAUUGCCUUUGAUACUGUUAUUCUUGAGUACAUUUGAGGUAGGCGGAAUGUGUUGUGUAGCGGUGAAAUGCUUAGAUAUAACACAGAACACCGAUUGCGAAGGCAGCUUACUAAACUGUAACUAACGCUGAGGCACGAAAGCGUGGGGAUCGAACAGGAUUAGAUACCCUGGUAGUCCACGCCGUAAACGAUGAUAACUAGUUGUUUGCAAUAGAUCGUAAGCGACAAAGCGAAAGCAUUAAGUUAUCCACCUGGGGAGUACGUUGGCAACAAUGAAACUCAAAGGAAUUGACGGGGGCCCGCACAAGCGGAGGAACAUGUGGUUUAAUUCGAUAAUACGCGAGGAACCUUACCUGGACUUAAAUGUAGAUUGACAGGACUAGAGAUAGUUUUUUCUUCGGACAAUUUACAAGGUGCUGCAUGGUUGUCGUCAGCUCGUGCCGUGAGGUGUCGGGUUAAGUCCCAUAACGAGCGCAACCCACGUUGUUAGUUACCAGCACAUAAUGGUGGGCACUCUAACAAGACUGCCGGUGUAAACCGCGAGGAAGGUGUGGAUGACGUCAAAUCAGCACGGCCCUUACGUCCAGGGCUACACACGUGUUACAAUGGUCGGUACAGAGGGCAGCUACCUAGUGAUAGGAUGCGAAUCUCAAAAACCGGUCUCAGUUCGGAUCGAAGUCUGCAACCCGACUUCGUGAAGCUGGAUUCGCUAGUAAUCGCGCAUCAGCCAUGGCGUGGUGAAUACGUUCCCGGGCCUUGUACACACCGCCCGUCAAACCAUGGAAGCCGGGGGUACCUGAAGUCUGUCACCGUAAGGAGCGGCCUAGGGUAAAUCUGGUAACUAGGGCUAAGUCGUAACA
rnacentral:rRNA from 1 species